UACAGAGGUCUCAAGCGUUGUUCGGAUUCAUUGGGCGUAAAGGGUGCGUAGGUGGCGCGGUAAGUCGGGGUGUGAAAUCUCGGAGCUUAACUCCGAAACUGCAUUCGAUACUGCCGUGCUUGAGGACUGGAGAGGAGACUGGAAUUCAUGGUGUAGCAGUGAAAUGCGUAGAGAUCAUGAGGAAGACCAGUGGCGAAGGCGGGUCUCUGGACAGUUCCUGACACUGAGACACGAAGGCCAGGGGGAGCAAACGGGG
rnacentral:rRNA from 1 species